rnacentral:rRNA from 1 species
UACGUAGGGUGCAAGCGUUAAUCGGAAUUACUGGGCGUAAAGCGUGCGCAGGCGGCUUUGCAAGUCAGAUGUGAAAUCCCCGGGCUUAACCUGGGAAUGGCCUAUGUGACUGGCAGGCUAGAGGAUGGCAGAGGGAGGCGGAAUUCCACGUGUAGCAGUGAAAUGCGUAGAGAUGUGGAGGAACACCGAUGGCGUAGGCAGCCUCCUGGGCCAAUCCUGACGCUGAGGCACGAAAGCGUGGGGAUCAAACAGG